CCAUAACAGAUUUAUUUCAACAUAAUAACUUAGUAUUUUAUUAAAAAAAUUGUUUGUACCUUGUUCAAGAUACUAGUACAUUGUAAGUCUGCGGGGAUUUUAUUGAUAAUUUUGGUAUACGCAUGACCAUUCUCGCGCGUACGUAUUAAAAUUUAUUUUAUUUUAAUGAAGCUUAUGCUUAUAAAUUCUCCACGGAUUUGAUUAGGCCUGAAAUCAUACCUACGGUGUAAAAACAGGACUGACCUAAUGAGUCAUCACUAAAUAGUAAAUAAAAGUAAUUUUUGUUUCAUUUUCGAAUUAUUAAAAUGUCGCUUUUUCAAAGAAAAGUACACACAUCAUCACCUCUUUUAACUUAAUAAAUAUUAAUAAUUUGUAAAUUUUACUAGUGAUUGCGUGUAUUUUUGCUACC